GACGAACGCUGGCGGCGUGCUUAACACAUGCAAGUCGAACGGAAAGGCCUGCUUUCCCUUGUGGAUUGCGGGUGCUCGAGUGGCGAACGGGUGAGUAACACGUGAGUGAUCUGCCCCCAACUUGGGUAUAAGCCUGGGAAACUGGGUCUAAUUCCCGAUAGGACUGCAGGGUGGUGCCUGUGGUGGAAAACGAUUUUCUAGUGGUUGGGGAUGAGCUCGCGGCCUAUCAGCUUGUUGGUGGGGUAAAGGCCUACCAAGGCGGCGACGGGUAGCCGGCCGGAGAGGGUGGACGGCGACAUUGGGACAGAGACACGACCCAGACUCGUACGGGAGGCAGCGGUGGGGAAUAUUGGACAAUGGGCGGAAGCCUGAUGCAGCGACGGCGCGUGGGGGAUGACGGCCUUCGGGUUGUAAACUCCUUUCGACCGCGAGGAAGCCACCUGGUUGGAAGGGUGGUGACGGUAGUGGUAGAAGAAGCACCGGCUAACUACGUG
rnacentral:rRNA from 1 species